rnacentral:rRNA from 1 species
GAUGAACGCUGGCGGCGUGCCUAAUACAUGCAAGUCGAGCGAACAGACGAGGAGCUUGCUCCUCUGACGUUAGCGGCGGACGGGUGAGUAACACGUGGAUAACCUACCUAUAAGACUGGGAUAACUUCGGGAAACCGGAGCUAAUACCGGAUAAUAUAUUGAACCGCAUGGUUCAAUAGUGAAAGACGGUUUUACUGUCACUUAUAGAUGGAUCCGCGCCGCAUUAGCUAGUUGGUAAGGUAACGGCUUACCAAGGCAACGAUGCGUAGCCGACCUGAGAGGGUGAUCGGCCACACUGGAACUGAGACACGGUCCAGACUCCUACGGGAGGCAGCAGUAGGGAAUCUUCCGCAGUGGGCGAAAGCCUGACGGAGCAACGCCGCGUGAGUGAUGAAGGUCUUCGGAUCGUAAAACUCUGUUAUUAGGGAAGAACAAAUGUGUAAGUAACUAUGCACGUCUUGACGGUACCUAAUCAGAAAGCCACGGCUAACUACGU